AGUCUAAAUAUCAAGUUGUUUUGCUUUUUGAGAAUAUUAAUUAAUUGCCCGUUUAUAUUUGCUCCGUGGGAUUAACGUAAUGGGAAAAAUUUGUUGCAACGCAUGUGGAGGUGUCUUUGUUUGUUGACUUUUAGAAAGUAUUCUCGCACCGUAUAAAUACAUCUCAUUUUUCUCUGUUUUGUCAGUAGUUGUUUUUGGUAUUAUUCGUGCAACGUGGAAGCUAACUUAGUGGUUUGGUGUUCGCACCAAAAAGCAGUCUUAAAGAUCAUCUUAGUACUCUCAACCCGUAACCGCAACUAGAAUAGCAGCAAUCUUAAGCAUGGACUUAAGUCAACUGAAUCAAACCUGUCUUGCAGAAGGUGAUUUUGAGCAGCCGAUUGGCGUUCCGUUUCAAAUUACUACAGCCAAAAUUGUUAAUACAAAAUUUGGCAAUUCCGUGUUGCUGCAAUUAGAAAGUUCCGUAGUAUUUCUUCCUACUCGCGUGACAGAAGCUUUCCGUCCGAGACUAGAAUACUUUGCGUCGGGGCAGUACAAACUGGUCUACGAGGGAUCCAAAGAUAUUGGAAAGCCCAACUCUUUAAAAAAAUUCAAAAUAAUUCAAAAUUAAUCAACAUAUUAUACAGGGUAAGUCUUAUUUACUGUUAUAUAUUUAAUAAACCACGAUGCGCGUAAGGCAGAUCAUUCAUAGAGCGCAAAUCUUAGUUUUAACCUUACAAAAAUUAAAAAAGCAUAUUUCCGACAAGUUCACUCUUAGAGAUAGUGAUGUGUGGCUUAGGAGACUAAAUAAAAAUAUUGAAUCUUGCAACCAAAUCGUUUCUAACGAAAAGGAUUUAUCUAUUGGGUUAAAAAGAAAAUUACAAACUACAAUUCAACAUCUGAAAGCUAUUAGAAAAAUUAUUCUUAAUUAUCAACAUAAGCAUUUUGGAUUGGGAUUACAACGUAGCAGCCGCGAGACAAACACAAAUGAAAUGGUUGUAUGGGAAUCGGUAGCGUCGUGUUUCCAGGGAAGAGUUCAGACCGGUGUCAUAAUUAAUUUACUUCAUAAAGAUUUAAUUCAAUUUUUAAACGAUUGUCGUCCAAUUUUUCAACAAAAAAUUAGUCAAAUUUUAAAGAAAUUUUUAUUGCUGAAAGUAAAUACCACAUUUUGCGGUGAAUUUAUUAAGGCAAAAAAUGAUGUCCAAGGCGAAGUUGAUGUUAAAUAUCUGAGUACCGGAAAUGCUGUGGUUGAUUUAGGAACAGAAUUGAAUGAAUGGUUUGUUGAAAAUGUGCAAGAUAAAAUUUUAAAUCAAAUGUCAGAGUUUCAGGAACGUGAUUCCGGGUGGGCUUUAAAUAAUAUUAUUUAUUUAGAGAUUAACAUUAAUAAAUUUGAAAUGGGUCAU